rnacentral:rRNA from 1 species
UGGAGCAUGUGGUUUAAUUCGAAGCAACGCGAAGAACCUUACCAGGUCUUGACAUCCCGAUGCUAUUUCUAGAGAUAGAAAGUUACUUCGGUACAUCGGUGACAGGUGGUGCAUGGUUGUCGUCAGCUCGUGUCGUGAGAUGUUGGGUUAAGUCCCGCAACGAGCGCAACCCCUAUUGUUAGUUGCCAUCAUUCAGUUGGGCACUCUAGCGAGACUGCCGGUAAUAAACCGGAGGAAGUGGGGAUGACGUCAAAUCAUCAUGCCCCUUAUGACCUGGGCUACACACGUGCUACAAUGGUUGGUACAACGAGUUGCGAGUCGGUGACGGCGAGCUAAUCUCUUAAAGCCAAUCUCAGUUCGGAUUGUAGGCUGCAACUCGCCUACAUGAAGUCGGAAUCGCUAGUAAUCGCGGAUCAGCACGCCGCGGUGAAUACGUUCCCGGGCCUU